GGUGGAAUGCCUCGGAGGAAUCUUUUCCCCUGCUUGAAACACUUGUUAUGGAAGAGUGUGACGACCUAGAGGAGAUCCCCCUUAGCUUUGCAGAUAUUCCAACACUGAAACAAAUUAAGUUGAUUAGGUGUGAGAACAAAUCUCUGGAGGAUUCAGCUGUGAGGAUUAAGAAAGAUGUUGAAGAGAAUGAAGGAAACGACCGUAUUGACCUCAUUAUCAAAGAUAGGUGAGGAAAUCCAAAGCAGCUGUGAGUAAAGCAUGUACUUGUCACGACAACAUGAAAACUGCAGCAAAAGCACAAACAGCAUGGACCGAGUUCACUCUUAGCAAAUUGUUGUAACCAUGCUCAUGCUGGAGUCUAUUAGCCGGAACACCCAUCCUUGUGACACUACUACUGAUUGCUAAGGUUUUUCUUAUUGUUCGACAUAGACGACUCAUUCCUACUGGGAAGGGAAGGAUUAUGCCUUGAUUCUCUUUUUCCAGUAUGUUUCAGAUGCUAUUCCACUGUGAUGCCCUAUAUAAAUAUCAUCACUUGCUUUUGUAAAUUGGUCGUU